UCAACAUCAUGGAGGUCGGGGAUUCCCAGCAAGGCAUGGAGGAGUUCAAAGUACAAAAUGUCACUGAUGCUCUCAAAGGAUUAGAAGCAGCUGUAGAUCAAGAUAACACAAUCACAGAAGACAGCAUGCAGCAAGAGAGCCGAAGAAAUAUUCAAUAGAAUACUGAAAGCAUUGGAAGGGAAACCUUGUGAAACAAUGGUGUCAAGUUUCUUUGCUAUUGAGAACAGCUUACCGUUCGCAAGGAGCAAUGCUUCUAACAUUAUGAACCAGAUUUUAAAGUUUGUAAAGAGGAUGGUUAGGAAACUACCUUUAAAAUGGCUGCUUGUUCAACAAGAAAUCCAGAAGUUGAAAGUGGAACAUAUCUAUUUACCAACCAAAGAGGAAACAAAGCACAGAAAGGCCUGGAGAAGAUUGGACUCAGGAGUCCUAGAGGAGCAUCUGUUAAGACACCUCUGGAAGGACUUCAAUUUUUUCAGAUGAGAUGUUUGACUUCUUUGUAUCUCUCAUGCAGAAAUUUGUACUUGUGUGUGAGAAAAACAUUACAAUGGGAGUUGAACGUAUUUUCUACGUUCUUUCGCGCUUGAAGCCUAAACGAAUAGAUGCCACCCAAACUAACAAUUACGGGAUUCGCGCAGUUUCAAUCUUUCAUGACUUUGGUCGCUAUCUACCUGACGAUCUUUUCCAGCGUGGAGUAACUAAGUUCAUUGAGAGAUUCCAAGUACUGUAAAAGACAAUGAGCGUACAUUAUCUUAUGAGCACGUGGAUUGGGUAUCGAUGAACUUCAUCACAUGGUUUUGAGUGUAGACUCAAUCAAGCAUCGUCAGGCCUAUGUUCGUUUUGCAAACAACAAUCAUCAGACGAAAAAUCUUCAAUGCCGCUCAGCUUACCCAGGAAGAUGAACCAUCGCCGACAGUAUGUGCGAAGGUGUUGAUAUUCCUUGAAACAGAACUAAAGAUAUU
rnacentral:lncRNA from 1 species